rnacentral:rRNA from 1 species
UACGUAGGGACCAAGCGUUGUUCGGAUUUACUGGGCGUAAAGGGCGCGUAGGCGGCUUAACAAGUCACUUGUGAAAUCUCCGGGCUUAACUCGGAACGGCCAAGUGAAACUGUCAAGCUAGAGUGCAGAAGGGGCAAUCGGAAUUCUUGGUGUAGCGGGUGAAAUGCGUAGAUAUCCGGAGGAACACCAGUGGCGAAGGCGACUUUCUGGCCUGUUCUUGACGCUGAGGCGCGAAAGCUAGGGGAGCAAACGGG